rnacentral:tRNA from 1 species
GGUUUGUAGGUCAGUGGUAGAACUUGUGAUCAGCAUGCACAAGGCCCUGGGUUCAAUCCCCAGCAUCACCA